rnacentral:rRNA from 1 species
CCUACGGGAGGCAGCAGUAAGGAAUAUUGGACAAUGCUCGCAAGAGUGAUCCAGCCAUGCCGCGUGCAGGAAGAAUGCCCUAUGGGUAGUAAACUGCUUUUGAACUAGAGAAAACCCCCAGUACGUGUACUGGGCUGAUAGUAUAGUUAGAAUAAGCAUCGGCUAACUUCGUGCCAGCAGCCGCGGUAAGACGAAGGAUGCAAGCGUUAUCCGGAUUCAUUGGGUUUAAAGGGAGCGUAGGUGGACUUAUAAGUCAGUGGUGAAAUCUCCGAGCUUAACUCGGAAAUUGCCAUUGAUACUGUAGGUCUUGAGUACAGUUGCUGUGGGCGGAAUAUGACAUGUAGUGGUGAAAUACAUAGAGAUGUCAUAGAACACCGAUUGCGAAGGCAGCUCACAAAGCUGUAACUGACACUGAGGCUCGAAAGUGCGGGGAUCAAACAGGAUUAGAUACCCUGGUAGUCCGCACCGUAAACGAUGAUUACUCGCUGCUAGGGGGCAACCUUUAGUGGCUUAGCGAAAGCGAUAAGUAAUCCACCUGGGAGUACGCCGGCAACGGUGAAACUCAAAUGAUUGACGGCUUGGAGGACGNGCGACGGCGACGACGAGGGGAGGAGG